rnacentral:rRNA from 1 species
CCUACGGGAGGCAGCAGUGAGGAAUAUUGGUCAAUGGACGAGAGUCUGAACCAGCCAAGUAGCGUGAAGGAUGACUGCCCUAUGGGUUGUAAACUUCUUUUAUAUGGGAAUGAACUGUUCCGCGUGUGGGAUUUUGUAUGUACCCUAUUAAUAAGGAUCGGCUACCUCCGUGCCAGCGGCCGCGGUAAUACGGAGGAUCCGAGCGUUAUCCGGAUUUAUUGGGUGUAAAGGGAGCGUAGGUGGAUUGUUAAGUCAGUUGUGAAAGCUUGCGGCUCAACCGUAAAAUUGCAGUUGAAACUGGCAGUCUGGAGUACAGUAGAGGCGGGCGGAAUUCGUGGUGUAGCGGUGAAAUGCUUAGAUAUCACGAAGAACUCCGAUUGCGAAGGCAGUUCACUGGACUGCAACUGACACUGAGGCGCGAAAGUGUGGGGAUCAAACAGGAUUAGAUACCCGGGUAGUC